UGGGAGGAGACAAAAUAAUUCAAGACUCUCUUAAAAUUAGUUAUAUUUUAAUUUAGUAGUUUAGAAUUAAUCAAAUUGUAAUUUAGUGGUUAAGACUUUUUAGACCAACUUUUGUAAUUUGGGCCAAUUUUUGGUAGUGUAGACUAAGNCCAAUUGUAGAAUAGGAUGAUUUGGCACUUUAGGAUUUUUUUAGGGUGGACCCCACCCAUUUUUCAUGACACACACUAGGCCCUAGGGAUUGCAGCCGUCACUUUUUUGGCUGCAUUCACUCUCGGCAG
rnacentral:lncRNA from 1 species